AUCGAACGCUGGCGGCAGGCUUAACACAUGCAAGUCGAACGAGUGGCGGACGGGUGAGUAAUGCUUGGGAAUCUAGCAUAUGGCGGGGGAUAACUACGGGAAACUGUAGUGAAUACCGCGUACCAUAGGAUGAGCCCAAGUGGGAUUAGGUAGUUGGUGCGGUAAAGGCUAACCAAGCCGACGAUCUCUAGCUGGUCUGAGAGGAUGACCAACCACACUGGGACUGAGGCGCGGCCCCGACUCCUACGGGGGGCAGCAGUGGGGAAUAUUGCGCGAGGGGGACAACCUGACACAGCCAUACCGCGUAAAUGAUGAAGGCCUUCGGGUUGUAGAAUUCUUUCGGUAGCGAGGCAUUAACUACAGAAGAAGCACCGGCUAACUCCGUGCCAGCCGCCGCGGUAAUAC
rnacentral:rRNA from 1 species